ensembl:lncRNA
GAAGUCUGGUAAUGAACCAAGACUCAUCAGCUGAUUUGGGUCAGAACAAGUACAGGCUCUCCCAGCUCGUUUUAAGCAUGGCUGUUACCAUGUCAGCACUAGGAAAUUUUCUAAAACCGUGCAAACGCUUGAUCGCUGAUUCCAUUAGGGAUGACAGUCUGAGCAAUUUUCUCCCCUUUUUGUUUUCCAGAGGCUGCUGUUUCUUCUGAAAUCUUCCGGGGGGUGAAGGUCAGAAGCUGAUGCAUGUUAGUAUGAUGAAGAGUACCUUUUCUAAUCUGCUCCUCAGACGCCGUUGGAAAUGAAGAAUGAAUAAGUAAUGUUUUCAAAGCCCGUGGGAAAUCAUGAGGCUACAGAUUCUAUCUUCUGAACUAACAGUCUGGACUGGAAAACUGGAAGUGAAUUUUAAGCUCAUCGAGUCCAACUUCCUCUUUAAUAUCUGAAUUUCUGCAAGCCCACCUGUGCUUGAAACCCCCUCGGUGAUGGGGGUCUUACCACCUUACACUCUGUCCUUGAACAGCCCGGACUGUGAGGAAGCCUUUCCUAACACUGGAUCAACAGCUGUCUCCCUGGGGCUUUAGCUCACUCACCCGGGGCAGUUCCCUUGUCCUGAAUAGAAAACAGACACAGUACCUAUUGUUGGGCAGCUGCUUUGCUCAGGCCCAGGACUGGGAUGUUCUUGGGGCCUCUGGCAGGUCCUCAUGCAGCAGAGUGGCCUUCACCUUCUGACCUGAGGCACACGCCUGGGGCGAGGCCCAGGGCUGCAGUGCAGGAUGGCGUCAGCGGGGUGAACGGGGCCGUGGCUGCCCGUGAGGCCUUCCCUGCUCCGUCGCAGGAGCUUACGAUUUCCUGCUCGUCUUUCUUAUAUUCAGCCCAACUUAAGCCUUAAAUGAAAUGCAGGAUGAGGAUUCAUGCUUACUCAUGAAUUUUCACACAACCAGAUCAUGCACUAGGAAUCUUAGAAAUGGCUCCAAUUUCCAAAAUAUUUAUCUUUUCUUUAGUUCUCACCUAAAGCAAAAGUUUAAAGCUGGCAACGUUGGACUCCCCUCCUCCCCUCCUCCCCAUUUGGAGGGCCGUUGCCCCUUCCUGUUCCAUGGUCGCUGGGCGCCUGUCUCCCAGGCUGCCCCUGCAGGAUGGCUCUGUGCCAUGGACAUUCCCCACCUCAUGCUGCCCUCCCCUCCUCCAAACCUACCUGUCCUCUGUCUGAGUCUCUCAGCAGCUGGUUUAUCAGAUGUGACCCUGGCUGCCAAUGUGUUUUGGUCCCCUUAGCAAAUCCUGCUUAAUUCGUGAGAUAGCUCCUGCCUUAUCCCCCAUCCUUAGCACCAGGAUUCCCUGAGGAGGUCGAACACAGGUCACCGGAGGGCCCGUAGGUGGUGGCUUUUUAGUGGGGAAGGAAAGACAUCAUGAUAAGAUCAAGGAUGAGAAACUGUUUUGGUCUGCAAGCCCCUCAGCACAACUUCAUACCUUGCAUCUCCUUGUUAAACGGUGCUAGUUCUGUUCUCCACAAACAAUAACAAUAGCUCUUACUGCGUGUGAUUAUUAAUUAUAGCUACUUACUGUGUUCCAGGUACAGUGCCUAGGGCUUAACGCGUUUCUCAUUUUACAUUCAUAACAACUCUUUGAUGUAGGAAGAAUUAUUCUUGUUUUGUGAUGAGCAAACUGAAGUUCAGAGACGUUAAGCAAUUUGCCUAGCAUCACACAGCUACUGCAUUGCAGAGAGAGGGAACAAACCAAGGUCUGUGUCACUGAGGCCCAUGCGCUUAACCACACAGCCUUCUUUUCUCUGAGCAACCAAUACAGCAGAAGCCUAAGGAGAGGAAUAGUUCCAGCAAACUCUUUGGUGCACGAAGCGCGGCCCGUUUAACAGGAGCCAGGAGACAUCUCGGUGCUGUUUCUGAGAAAGCAGGGUGGGUCCCCACCUUUAAUGGAAGGGAAACGAAGUUGCCUACAGUGUCAGCCUUGGGCAGGAGGAUUUACAGUGUGCCUGGAUUUGUUACAUUUUUUUCUUUUAAAACGACAUCCCCAUGAAAGUCUCCUUUUGGGAGUUUGGGAGUUGCGCCUGGUGGACGCAACUACUCUGAUAAAUAGAUUUUAAGACAAAAUGCAUUAGUAGGCAUAAAGAAGGUCAUUUCAUAACCUACCACAGACAAUUCACCAUGUGCGUGUACGGAAUAAUAUGCCCUCAAAUAUAUUUAAAGCAGAAAUCGAUUGAUUUAUAAAGAGAAAUUUGAAAAUCCGUAUGUACAGAUUUUUUUUUUUUUAAGAUUUUAUUUUUUCCUUUUUCUCCCCAAAGCCCCCCGGUACAUAGUUGUGUAUUCUUCGUUGUGGGUUCUUCUAGUUGUGGCACGUGGGACGCUGCCUCAGCGUGGUCUGAUGAGCAGUGCCAUGUCCGCGCCCAGGAUUCGAACCAACGAAACACUGGGCCGCCUGCAGCGGAGCGCGCGAACUUAAUCACUCGGCCACAGGGCCAGCCCCUGUAUGUACAGAUUUUUACAAACAUAUCUCUUAGUAAUCGAUAGAGUAAAAGGUCAAAAAUUAGUAAAGAUAUUGAAGGUUUGAACAAUCCAAUUAACUAGCUUGAUCUAGUCUACAGAUAUAUAACCCAACAGCUGAUCGCUUGCUGGACCACGAAGGAAAUCUCCUCCACAAUAGCAAAGACUCAGCAACAUACAGAAUGUGUUCUCUGACCAGAGGCUAAUAAAAUAUGAACUUGAAAAGAAAAAGAUACUUGAAAUUAUAUUUUGGGAAAUUAGAGAGACGGAAAGACACUUCUAAAGACUGUUUGGACAACGCAACAGUCAAAAUAGAAUAAGUUAUGCUGCCGUAAUGCACAGACCUGAAAUCCCUCAAUAUCUUAAAACAAUGGAGGUUUAUUUCCCACUCAGGGUACAUUUCCAGUGUAAUCAGCUGGGAGCUCGGUCCCACAUUUUCCUCACUCUGGGACCUGAUGGAGCUUCCACCACUGGGCAUUACCAGAUAGUACGUAGCUCUUAAAGUUUUCUGCCCCAAAAUGACAGACAUCAUUUCCACUCAUACGAUGUUGUCCAGAGCACGUCUAUUGCCAUGGCUGACUUCAAGAAGGAGGGGCCCUGACCAGAAAGAGGAGAACUGGACACGUCAGUGACCAGCACCAAAGAUGAUCACGAAGAGGAAAUAAUCAAGAAAGCGGGGAAACAUUUACACUUAAAGAAUAAUGAAAAUGUAACAUUAAAACUUGUAGGAUGUAGCUAAAGCGGUAGAGUAAAAUUUACAACCCUAAAUGAUUAUAUUAGAAAGAGGAGACGGACAAUUACAGACCUAACCGUUUAUUCAAGAAAGUAAAGUAUCCUAAAAAUAGCGGAGAAAAGAAAAUAAUUAAGAGAUACAUUGAUGAAACAGUCACAGAAACCAAAACACAAUAUAGAGAAAUGGAAAAAAAUAAAACUGCUGACUGGUCGGGCUCCUUAGAAGCAGACUCUGAGAUGAGGAGAAGUGUGUCCCAGACCUAUUAAUCUACCCUUGAUUAAAAAGUCUGUUCU